rnacentral:rRNA from 1 species
UCGGGAAUUUUGGGCAAUGGGCGAAAGCCUGACCCAGCAACGCCGCGUGAGGGAUGAAGUAUUUCGGUAUGUAAACCUCGAAAGAAUGGGAAGAAUAAAUGACGGUACCAUUUAUAAGCUCCGGCUAACUACGUGCCAGCAGCCGCGGUAAUACGUAGGGAGCAAGCGUUGUUCGGAUUUACUGGGCGUAAAGGGCGCGUGGGCGGCGCGGUAAGUCACUUGUGAAAUCUCUGAGCUUAACUCAGAACGGCCAAGUGAUACUGCUGUGCUAGAGUGCGGAAGAGGCAACCGGAAUUCUUGGUGUAGCGGUGAAAUGCGUAGAUAUCAAGAGGAACACCUGAGGCGAAGGCGGGUUGCUGGGCCGACACUGACGCUGAUGCGCGAAAGCCAGGGGAGCAAACG